rnacentral:tRNA from 1 species
GGCGGCAUAGCCAAGUGGUAAGGCAGCAGCCUGCAAAGUUGCCAUUCGUGGGUUCGAAUCCCACUGCCGCCUCCA